GCCAGGUAUGGUGGUGCAUGCCUGUAAUCCCAACUACUUGGGAGGCUGAGAUAGGAGAAUUGCUUGCACCUGGGAGAUGGAGGCUGCAGUGAGCUGAGAUUACGCCACUGCACUCCAGCCUGGGUGACAGAGUGAGAAUCCAUCUCCA
ensembl:misc_RNA Metazoa_SRP Metazoan signal recognition particle RNA